rnacentral:tRNA from 1 species
GCAUUGGUGUUUCAGUGGUAGAAUUUACAUCUUACGUGUGGGAGACCUGGGUUCGAUUCCCAGCUAGCACA